rnacentral:rRNA from 1 species
UACGUAGGUGGCGAGCGUUGUUCGGAAUCACUGGGCAUAAAGCGCGCGUAGGCGGCCCUGUAAGUCGGGUGUGAAAUCCCUCGGCUCAACCGAGGAACUGCGCUCGAUACUGUGGGGCUUGAGGACUGGAGGGGAGAGUGGAAUUCCCGGUGAAGCGGUGAAAUGCGUAGAGAUCGGGAAGAACGCCGGCGGCGAAAGCGACUCUCUGGUCAGUCCCUGACGCUGAGGCGCGAAAGCUAGGGGAGCAAACGGG